rnacentral:rRNA from 1 species
UACGUAGGGUGCAAGCGUUAUCCGGAAUUAUUGGGCGUAAAGAGCUCGUAGGCGGUUUGUCGCGUCUGCUGUGAAAACUGGAGGCUCAACCUCCAGCCUGCAGUGGGUACGGGCAAACUAGAGUGCGGUAGGGGAGAUUGGAAUUCCUGGUGUAGCGGUGGAAUGCGCAGAUAUCAGGAGGAACACCGAUGGCGAAGGCAGAUCUCUGGGCCGUAACUGACGCUGAGGAGCGAAAACAUGGGGAGCGAACAGG